UAUCUCUACACAGACGGGGAGUUGUUCGUGCCAGGAAUAAAUCACUCAUUGGGUGUUUAUAUUACUCGGCCACAUACAAGUUGACAAUCUUGCAGCCUUUACAGUUUAACACAAGUAAUACUAACAAAAUUGUAUAGUGUUUAUACGUCUGGUUUAUUGUUUGUAACAUAUAAUGGAAUCGUUUCCUAACAGCAUUUCAAACUGUUAUAAGAGACCUGUCAAAAACACAAACGUAUUACACCACACUGCAGACGUGAUAUGUGACACAGCAUCAUGUUAGUUCAUCCGUACUAAAGUCCGUGACACGCAGUGGAGGGUGCUAAUCUAAAUGUAGAUGAGGCCUACAACAUGUGUUACUACGCAGACAGAAGGUUUGGUGCGUGUAGGAGGACUUCUGGAUCAGAUGAAAUAUAUUCCAAUCACCUUAGUAUAGUUUACAUUUCUUCUUUGAUCAAAAGAAUAUGUCUGUAUGCAAGCCUCAGAGGCCUACUUCAGUCAACUUCAGCGUCUACUUCUGGCCAUUAUAAUAUCCUUCAGUCGAAGUUAUUUUCGGUACUGAAAUAGAAUUUACUUGGUUCCCCCGAUCAAUCAAAUAUAUACAACAAGACGUAGGACCAAAAAGUUUAUUUCGGACUAACAUCAUUUUUGCCUUUUUAUGUUAAAAUAUAAUAACCAUAAUUUGUCAGUAUAGUACGCUAUUACAAAGUGUAUUGUUAUAGACACAUAUAAACACAAAUAUAACGUUUUUUUAAUGUUUCAACCCCAUUUUAACUCCUAUGGUUGUUUGACCUUUAUGAAAAUUCUUUGCUUCAUCUCUUGAGAUUAUAAAACAAGUGUACUAAAUUUUAUUUUUCCAUCGGGAGAUUUAAAAACCAAUAUAUAAGUCUUAUAUGGGAUGCAACCAUUAUUCAAACCAUACUGAUUAUUUAUCUUCAUUGAAAAUCUUUACUUUGUUUGAUGAGAGGAUAGGGCACAUUUAUGUCAAAUUUCAUCUGUACAGAAGAUUAGGAAAUUGGACAAAUAAAAUUUUUCUAAGGGUUUCAACAACAUAUCAACCCAUAGAUGCAUGAUAAAUAUGCAUGAACAUAUUUUAUUUUUCGCUUAGAGCUUACGGCAAAUGUGUGCAAAAGUCUACCGUUGUAGGAUUUCAGAAAAAUUACAAACA